GGUCUAAAUGCAACCUCAAAGUACAAGUUAAUGAUCAUUGGAAAUAGUUGGUCAGCAAAUCAUGGCACCAUGUUUCAUCAAGAAUGUGGUUAUAAAGCAAACACUAUCAUACAGGGAUCAUACCCAAGUAAGCUAAUAAUGUAAAGUAUUGUUCUCAGAACUUGUUUCAGCUUGUGAAAUGAUUUAUCCUACUGAACACCGGGGAGGAUGCAUAAGAGACUACCAUAAUUACUGAAUUCGUGUCGAAAAAGAAAAACCUGAUUACUUAUUUAUAAUCUCAAGGUAACCAGAAGUCUCCUGAUAGGAACUAAGUUUUCAUUUUCAGGUAUAUAUCUAUCGGUGAUCCGAUACCAACAAAUGUGACAAAAUUGAGUGAUGAUCCGAUCUAUCAAUCUAUGAAAUCUCAGCUUCUUGCAUUUCUAUCAAGUACCAAGUACAUGGUUUACAUUCUGAAUGCCUUGCCAGCACACGAUUUAAAUCAGACAGAGAAUAUUGGAAAAUGGCUAAAAGAAGGGGUAAAUCCUGUUGAAGUUGAGGUAAGACCCAAUCAAUUCAAGAUACUUGUUGAGCUUCACACAUAUAAAAUUAUAUUAACCGUUUCAGAGGCGCUUGGGUGAUGAGGUAGGCAAGCCGUACAAACAGGCGACCUACGAAAUGGCCCGGAAAAGAUAUGCGGAACUAGUGACAGAAUGUAAUGGGCGGUGUGCUCUGGUGGACUACAAGCUUGAAUUCUAUAACAAUGCCACUGACACCUACAAAUUAUUUGAUGACAGAGGAUUCGAAUACUUCACCUCUGGAUUACACUUGUCACCACAUGGACUGGAAAAAGUUCGACACAUUUGGACGGACCUUUGUUCGAAAUUUUAAUAUACUAUUCUGUAUUAAAUUAAAUAUUAAAUUAUAUACGGGGUUGUGAAAUCAAUUAUGUUAUAUAUGUAAACCAGCCGUGGUCCGCACCUCCGGCGCGGCCCCCGACUUCUGGAGCUGAAAACUAAUUUUUCUGAAGCUACCGUAAUCCUACAGUACUCCUACCGUACCACUAUUGUACCACUACAGUACCCCGACUAUAUCCCUACACUAAGCCCAACUCACUUUCUCUCCAGAAGCCAAAACGUCACAGACUACAAAGACUACAUAGACUACAAACUAUGGACAAACGGAAUAAGCGCUUUAUAUAUAGUAAAUGAUGAUUGGUGUUUUAUUUGUGAAAAUUUAAUUAAAUACUCCUUCUGGGAGAUGUCAAAUAAUUUAAUAAUAUUCUGAGCUGAAAAUUCGGGCAUUAGUUUCAUGAAUGUCCAAUUCAAUAGAGUUUCUUCUCCAAAUUUUUUGUUUUAGACUAUUUUGGCAAGAAUUCCAAAAUUUUAUCUAUUCUAUAAUAAUACCUUAUUCAACUUUUUAUUCUGGCUGUAAUUCAAAUUUAAAGUUUUUAAAAAAAUUUGUUGCAUUAUUUUCUUCAUAAAUCCAAUAAAGAUAUACCAAAAGAACAUUAAAUUAAAAAUUGUAAAAAAUUGUAUCAUUUCGGAAUUUCGGAAUAUUUCGGAACAGAGAUGGAAGGUAGAGAUUACUGUCUGCACAGCGGAUGUCGGUAGCUUUGAAAAAUUAUCGAAAUAUUGGCAAAAAAUUAAUUCAAACUUUUUAAAAAUUUGAACACAGUUAAUGUUUGAAGGCAUAAACUUAAAAAAUGAGAUGAAAAUGAAGAUUUUUCCGUCAUUUUGAAUUAAAAAAAAAUCAGCUUUUGGAUACUGUCAAUUAAAAAAAAUACUUCCGCACAAGCUAGCCUACUUAGUUUGGUAUUUUCUGGUAUAUUCGGCAAUACUUAACAGUUUUAUGAAAGAAAAAAAAGCACUUCAUAUGAUUUUAUCGUACUUUUCGAAGUUUCAAAAAAUCAGCUUUUAUAUAUUUUUAUCAAUUUUAAAAAAUUACUUCCGUACAAGCUAAUAUACUUUGAUCGGCAUUUUCUGGUAUUUUUGACUAUGCUGAAGAAUUUUAUGAAAUAAAAAAGAAUGACUCCAUAUGAUUUUCCCAUACUUUUGAAUUUUUGAAAAAAUCAGCUUUUAUAUAUUUUUAUCAAUUUAAAAAAAAAUUACUUCCGUACAAGCUAGCCUACUUAGUUUGGUAUUUUCUGGUAUAUUCGGCAAUACUUAACAGUUUUAUGAAAGAAAAAAAAAGCACUUCAUAUGAUUUUAUCGUACUUUUCGAAGUUUCAAAAAAUCAGCUUUUAUAUAUUUUUAUCAAUUAAAAAAAAAUACUUCCGUACAAGCUGAUAUACUUUUAUUGGCAUUUUCUGGUAUUUUUGACUAUGCUGAACAGUUGAUGAAAAAAAAGAAGCGCUUCAUAUGAUUUUACGGUACUUUUGAAGCUUUUAAAAAGCAGCUUUUAGUUAUUUUUGUCAAUUAAAAAAAAUUGGCAACACCAACUCAUCAGGAGUCAUGUCGCGACGACAUCUGAUAAAAUAUAAAUAUACACAACCGUGUGAAAAACCAGCAUGUUUGAUAACAUUUUGUAUGUCUUCAAACUGUUGAAAACGAUUAAUCAAAAUCUGUAGAAAUUCGAAAUUAAGUCCGUUGGCUUCUCUCACCACUUAACACUUAAAUUUCCUGCUUUUUAUUUGUGUUAGUUCAGAAAUCAAAACUGAAUUUCGAAUUUUCCGCCACGCUUUCUCAACAAAGGAGGCUCCACCCACCAGCAUAUUUGAGAGACACCAAGCUAUGCAUACUCUAAAAGGUUUUUUUUUGCUUUACAGCCGUGUUUAUUUAACUAAAAAUUUUGAUUUGUUAGAGAAGCGCAUAUUUUAGGAAAAUUUUGGGAAAGUUGAUAUUCUUAGGCACCUCUGUGUCAAGCUGUCCCAUUUCGGUUUGAUCUACGUAUAUCUACAAAAAAUGCGGGAGAAGAGACGCAGAGUUCUCCACUGAUUUCUCAUGGUUAUGAACGAGCUGACGUCACAUUUUUUUUUCAGGGAAAAAGUUCCCGCUUUAAUUGUAGAUCAAACCGUGAUGGGACAGCCUCUAUGGGUUUAAUAUCAAUUUUAAUGGGGGUGGCGACUUUUUUUGCCCCUUGUAACAGCCAUAAUUUGGGCCCAGGUGUCGCGAAUACGAUGGAGAAGAGCCUCCAACGAUCACGACUUUCAUAAUUAUUGCAUAAUUAUGCACUCUACAAUGGACGCUAGCAACACCGAGCACAUCUAUCACCAUUGCUCAAGGGACAACCGUACAGUCGAUACAUAUAAGGAACAACCACGUGAACCAUUUACGCCGUGAACUCCGGAUGGAUGCACACAAGGAGCAGCAGAGGAUGACAACAACAACAUUCACGCCAUGACCUUGCCACGCCAAUACGAACAACUCAACCUUGGACACGUGGACCACAUGGCCAACCUUGGUGGGACUUCCCGAAUCAGUUCUUACUUUAUGUUCUUACGUUACUUGUCUAUUAGUGUUACUAGUUGUCUAUAAUAAAUCCUUGUAGAGUCACCAAGUGUACUGUUAGUUUAACUUAUAUAAAAUACCACUGAACGCACUGCAAAACACCAGGGGCCCGUUUUUUCAAAUUUUCUGUUAAUUCCGAUUGUUUGUUUUAUUCUCGAAUUUGAUCAAUAGCUUUUUUAUUAUAAAAACUUAAGUUUCAGAUGGGUUCCUUGCCGAUAAAACUAUCCCCUAAAAGACUAGACCUACAAGGUAUCCGUGGUCUUGCUAUAAUUGCAGUUCUAGGCUUCCACUUCUACCCUGACACCUUCCCAAAUGGAUAUCUUGGAGUUGAUCAGUAAGUACCAAUUUUUUAAAAAAUUUCUCUAACAAUAGUUAUUACUUUCAGAUUCUUUGUUCUAUCUGGAUUUCUUAUGUGUAUGCUUUUGAAGAGAGCUAAAAAAGAGCCACCAUGUACUUUAAUAACAAUAUUCUAUACCAAAAGAUUCAGAAGAAUUCUACCACUUUACCUACUUGUCAUUUGUUGCUCCAUGAUUUGUCUCUAUGCAUUUUUCCCGGAAAUCGUAGUUGAAACAAAUCAAAAGUCUGCAUUGAGGGCUUUAUUUUUUGUGUCAAACACUCAAAAAACUGAAGCGCAAAACUAUUUUAUGAAAGUAUGUAAGAGGGUUUACAUUUUAUUGAUAUGUACUAUAUUCGGUGUUUCCAGCUAACAAAAGCAAUGGACAUCUUCACACAUACCUGGUCAUUGUCUGUUGAGGUUCAAUUCUACUUCCUAAUUCCCUUCAUUUUCCUGCUAGCAGCCAAACUUCCAUCGAAAUUUGAAAUUAAGUACUACGCAUUUAUAGGUUGGUGUGCAAUUUUUCUAACUCUUAAAAUAUAUCAGAAUUUCAGGAAUUGUCUCAUUUUCAUUUUUCUUCUCAUCACCUCAAUCGGUAGCUUUCAAUAGCGUUUUUGCAAGGAUAUGGCAGUUUUCAAUAGGCAAGUUGUUAAGAGGCUAGACAAGUUUCUAGUCACCCUUGGAAACAGAGCUGUCCGCCACAAAAAAUUUCGAGCAAAGAGUAACAUUUUUUGUUUAAAAUUUGGACUUAAAAAAAAAGAACAAUGAAUCUAGUUCCUCCAAAAAAAAAACAAAAAAAAAGACAACUCUGCUUGGAAACCAGAAAAAAGCAAAAAAAAAAACUGCUCUAAAAAAAUAUGAACGAAUGCUAAGUUGCCGUAUAUCCUUUAUUAGUAACUCGGCAAAACGGCCUAACUUCAUAGCAUACUCUUGCAACUACUUAACAACAAUUAGGCAUUUUAGCUUUUAAGCAAACUUCUGCAGCUUUUCAGACGACUUUUGCAAUUUCUUAGCAGAUGUAAAGCUAAAUUUCGCUCAUCCCGUUGGUUUUCGCAACUUCUUAACAGCUUUUUACAAAGUUAUACAAAGUUAAAAAUAAAUGUUUUUAUUAAGUUGCAGGAGUUUGCUAUGAAGUUGCGACGUUUUGCCGAGAAGGCGUGCAAAACUAAUAGAGGGUGCAAAACUAAUUUUCAAACUGGUUUCUUUCUCAUGUUUUCCAUUAAGUUAUGGCAUAAUAUCAUCAAUUUCAGUAACACCUUGUGAACCAAAAUGGACGAAUUUUAAGGCUGAUACGCAAAAACUGUCCAAGUUGUACUCAUAUUUUGCCAAUUUUGACUUGUUAUUCCAAGUCUGUAAGAAUUUUCCUGAUUUGUAAAACGAUUUUAUAAUGCAAAUUUUAAAUUCCUAAAAAUAGGGAACAAAUGAAAUGGGGUGCAAAACUAUUAGAGGUGCAAAACUAAUUUUCGAUGAGUGAUUUUAGAUGCACAACUAAUAGAGGCGCCUUACUAAUAGAGAAUAUACGGUAUGUACAGUUUUUCAGGCAUAAUUGUGUACCUUCUUGAAUAUUCAAAACUGCAAAACAGAAAAGAGACUCAAGCAUUUGAGAGCUUGCUCAUUGAUGAAGACUGCAAAAAUAUGAAAAAGCAACCAUCUUCAAGCUAUCCUGGUUUUACAAGAGGCAUUGCCUAUUUGUUAAUGAGCAGUCUUGUGCUCAUAGUUUCACUUUCAAUUCCAUUGAAUGUUUCAAUUGCAAGGUAAAGUAUAAGUGCUGGAGCGCGUUUGGCAGGCGUUCAAAUUAUAAUUUGUAAUGAAUUAACAGUUUUCCAAAAGUAUAUGCGUUUUUGGUUUUUUUUAUUAAAAUUUUUUUCACGGAAACGUGUGGCGAGAUGUCGGGCGCUGUAUAUAUUGUCAUUAUUUUUGUGAAGCAUUGCAAAAUACUUCAUCGUGCAUGAAAAAUCAAGAGCAACAAUUUGUUAGUUGAGCUUUUAUUGCAAAACUGUCUAGUUUCAAAGUUAUACUCGUUUGCAUUUUUUAAAAUAAUCCCUGAGAAACCAAAAAGGCAUAUAUUUUUGGCCGGAACUGUAGGUGCUAAUGAUUCUGGUCAACUAAACUAUCAUUAGGCUUUUUUAUAUUUCACAUUAAAUUUUGCUAUCCCACUGCUCCUUUUUCAGACCAUUAUUGACUAUUGGGACUGGGUGUUUAAUGCUUAUAUCUGAAGGCAACGCAGUUCUAUCUAAUAGAGUGUUAACCUACAUUGGUGAUAUCUCAUAUUCACUUUAUCUAGUUCAUUGGCCUAUUUAUGCCUACUGGAAGCUUACUAAUGAAGACAAUAAGUCAUGUUAGUUGAGAUGACGUUACUUGAAAAAUGUGCUAACUUUCAGUGCUAGUUGUGGCAUUGCUCAAUUCAAUUCUUCUGGCGGUUUUUGUAUUUGAAAUAUUCGAAAAAUGGUACCUCAAACUAACUUCUUCAAAACUUGCAUUGCUCGUCAUUUUACUAUUCUCACUCAAUAUGGUUCUAGUCAAUCGUGAUGAAUUUGCAAAUCAAAUGGAAAUUAACCGAAAUGACACCAACACCCGACAAAACCGCACCUCAAAUGCAGUUACAAGGCAUUUGCUGAUACAUAAUGUCAGCGACGAUAUGACUAUUGAUGAUGCAAUUCGACUGAAUAAUGACUGGAACAUUCAUGAUAUUCAAAACUUGAACGUCCCGUACUGCAAAUAUGAAACACAAGGCCCGCUUGCAUGGUGCAGUCAUCAGG
rnacentral:sRNA from 1 species